rnacentral:rRNA from 1 species
AGAGUUUGAUCCUGGCUCAGGAUGAACGCUGGCGGCGUGCCUAACACAUGCAAGUCGAGCGAUUCUCUUCGGAGAAGAGCGGCGGACGGGUGAGUAACGCGUGGGUAACCUGCCCUGUACACACGGAUAACAUACCGAAAGGUAUGCUAAUACGAGAUAAUAUACUUUUAUCGCAUGGUAGAAGUAUCAAAGCUCCGGCGGUACAGGAUGGACCCGCGUCUGAUUAGCUAGUUGGUAAGGUAACGGCUUACCAAGGCGACGAUCAGUAGCCGACCUGAGAGGGUGAUCGGCCACAUUGGAACUGAGACACGGUCCAAACUCCCACAGGAGGCAGCAGUGGGGAAUAUUGCACAAUGGGCGAAAGCCUGAUGCAGCAACGCCGCGUGAGCGAUGAAGGCCUUCGGGUCGUAAAGCUCUGUCCUCAAGGAAGAUAAUGACGGUACUUGAGGAGGAAGCCCCGGCUAACUACGUGCCAGCAGCCGCGGUAAUACGUAGGGGGCUAGCGUUAUCCGGAAUUACUGGGCGUAAAGGGUGCGUAGGUGGUUUCUUAAGUCAGAGGUGAAAGGCUACGGCUCAACCGUAGUAAGCCUUUGAAACCGGGAAACUUGAGUGCAGGAGAGGAGAGUGGAAUUCCUAGUGUAGCGGUGAAAUGCGUAGAUAUUAGGAGGAACACCAGUUGCGAAGGCGGCUCUCUGGACUGUAACUGACACUGAGGCACGAAAGCGUGGGGAGCAAACAGGAUUAGAUACUCUGGUAGUCCACGCCGUAAACGAUGAGUACUAGCUGUCGGAGGUUACCCCCUUCGGUGGCGCAGCUAACGCAUUAAGUACUCCGCCUGGGAAGUACGCUCGCAAGAGUGAAACUCAAAGGAAUUGACGGGGACCCGCACAAGUAGCGGAGCAUGUGGUUUAAUUCGAAGCAACGCGAAGAACCUUACCUAAGCUUGACAUCCUUUUGACCGAUGCCUAAUCGCAUCUUUCCCUUCGGGGACAGAAGUGACAGGUGGUGCAUGGUCGUCGUCAGCUCGUGUCGUGAGAUGUUGGGUUAAGUCCCGCAACGAGCGCAACCCUUGCCUUUAGUUGCCAGCAUUAAGUUGGGCACUCUAGAGGGACUGCCAGGGAUAACCUGGAGGAAGGUGGGGAUGACGUCAAAUCAUCAUGCCCCUUAUGCUUAGGGCUACACACGUGCUACAAUGGGUGGUACAGAGGGCAGCCAAGUCGUGAGGCGGAGCUAAUCCCUUAAAGCCAUUCUCAGUUCGGAUUGUAGGCUGAAACUCGCCUACAUGAAGCUGGAGUUACUAGUAAUCGCAGAUCAGAAUGCUGCGGUGAAUGCGUUCCCGGGUCUUGUACACACCGCCCGUCACACUACGGGAGUUGGGGGCGCCCGAAGCCGGAUUGCUAACCUUUUGGAAGCGUCCGUCGAAGGUGAAAUCAAUAACUGGGGUGAAGUCGUAACAAGGUA